rnacentral:rRNA from 1 species
CGUCCAGACUCCUACGGGAGGCAGCAGUGGGGGAUAUUGCACAAUGGGGGAAACCCUGAUGCAGCGACGCCGCGUGGGUGAAGGAGCACCUCGGUGCGUAAAGCCCUAUCGGCAGGGAAGAAAAGCGAACAGGUUCGCCUGGACGGUACCUGACUAAGAAGCCCCGGCUAACCACGUGCCAGCAGCCGCGGGAAUACGUAGGGGGCAAGCGUUAUCCGGAUUCACUGGGUGUAAAGGGAGCGUAGACGGCGGCGCAAGCCAGGAGUGAAAGCCCGGGGCCCAACCCCGGGACUGCUCUUGGAACUGCGCGGCUGGAGUGCAGGAGGGGCAGGCGGAAUUCCUGGUGUAGCGGUGAAAUGCGUAGAUAUCAGGAGGAACACCGGUGGCGAAGGCGGCUUACUGGACUGUAACUGACGUUGAGGCUCGAAAGCGUGGGGAGCAACCAGGAUUAGAUACCCCCGUACC